GGGGUAUAGCUCAGCUGGCUAGAGCGCUUGCAUGGCAUGCAAGAGGUCGGGGGUUCGAAUCCCCCUACCUCC
rnacentral:tRNA from 1 species